GUGCUGUGAUGUCGUGGAAUUCCCUCCGGUGUUUCAGGGUUGCUGGGGAGAUGUUUGCAAAUAUCUGGAUGUCACAGAACUUUUCUGGCAGGUCUCUGUUUGUUCUGCUGCCCCUCAGGAUAAUUUCCUUUGCGUGGUAGUAGUGCAUUCGCACAAAUAUGUUUCUGGGGCUUUCCAGUUGUAGGAAUCGCGGCCUUGCUGUUCU